AUGGCAAUUCUUACUUAUGAUGAUGAGCAACCACAUUUUGUAUUGCUACCUUUUAUGGCACAAGGUCAUACCUUGCCUAUGAUAGACAGCUCGUUUAUUGGCACAAAGAGGUGUUAUUGUCACAAUUCUUAUGACACCUUUAAAUGCCAUUAGGUUCAAUAGUUUCAUUGCCCGUGCAGUCGAAACAGGACUAAAAAUUCAUCUUGUUCACCUCUAUUUUCCAAGCAUAGAGGCAGGGCUACCACAAGUUUGUGAAAAUUGUGACAUGCUUUUAUCAAUAGACAUGAUAAAGAAGUUCUUUAAUGCUACUCAAAUGCUUGAGACACAAGUGGAUGAGUUGUUGCAAGAUUUGAAACCAAACUGCCUAAUUUCUGAUAUGUGUUUUCCAUGGACAACAAAUGUUGCUAAGAGAAUUAACAUACCUAGGAUUGUUUUCCAUGGGAUGGGAAGCUUUUCUUUGUUGUGCUUGCACAAUUUGAGAGAUGAGAAGUUGUUGGAGAGCAUUAGUUCUGACACUGAAUACUUUUCAGUGCCUGGACUUCCAGACAAAGUUGAGGUGACCAAAGCUCAACUAAAAGCAUUGGUUGAUCCAAGCAAUCCUGAGUGGAGAGAAAUUGGAGACCAAAUGAAGGAGGCAGAGGAUCAAGCUUAUGGAAUUGUGGUCAAUAGCUUUGAGGAGUUGGAACCACAAUAUGUGCAAGGAGUGAAAAAGGCUAAAGAUAAGAUGGUUUGGACAAUUGGUCCUGUUUCCUUAUGCAACAAAGAGAAACAAGACAAAGUUGAAAGAGGAAACAAGGCUUCAAUUGAUGAACACCAGUGCCUAAAAUGGCUUGAUUCUAGGGAACCAGACUCCGUGCUCUUUGUAUGUCUUGGGAGUCUAUCGCGCUUGCCAACAUCACAAAUGAUUGAACUUGCACUUGGCUUAAGAGUCAUCUAAACGACCCUUCGUAUGGGUCGUUAGACAUAUAUCAGAUGAAUUUAGAAAAUGGCUAAAUGAAGAGAACUUUGAGGAAAGAGUUCAAAAACAGGGGAUUUUAAUCCAUGGUUGGGCACCACAAAUACUAAUAUUAUCACACCUUUCAAUCGGCGGAUUCCUGACACACUGUGGAUGGAAUUCGAUCUUAGAAGGGAUAUCUGUUGGUAUCCCAAUGAUCACUUGGCCAUUAUUUGCUGAGCAAUUUUGUAAUGAGAAGCUCAUUGUGAAUGUACUCAAGACAGGAGUGAAGGGUGGCAUGGAGAAUCCAGUGAUGUUUUUAGAAGAAGAAAAAGUGUGUGCACAAGUAAAGAAAGAUGAGAUUAAGAUGGUAAUUGAAAGAGUAAUGGGUGAAGAAGAGGAAGCAAAAAUGAGAAGAGAAAGAGCUAAAAGGGUUGGAGAAAUGGCAAGAAGGGCUGUGGAGGAAGGAGGUUCCUCUCACAUUAAUUUGACAAAACUAAUACAAGAUGUCACACAAGCAGCAAAAAUUGGGGGUGCAAGUCUAGCUAAUGCUUCUUGAUUUAGUAUAAGAUGUGCAAAUUUGGAAAAUCUAUGUGAAAUCUCGAGUGUGUUUAUGAUUUCUAAUUUUUUCAUGUUUGAUUGGUUUAAAUGUUUGAAAAAUAUAUUUCAAGUCAAUUUAUUUUCUUCAAAUUCAAGGAAAAAAUAACUUCCUUUUAAAAAUCAAGAAAAACAUUUUCCCAAAUUUUCC